GUAAUUGCAAUAAAUAACAACUGAAUGUAAGAAAUUCGGUAAGAGCACUAUACAGUUCUAAUAUAAGCAGUAAAUGCAGUGGAUAAAUGCUAAACAGGGAAAAAUACUAGUAAAAACUUCUAUGAUUCGUCCGGCAAAUUACAAACACUGCUGCGCCAUGCAGCCCGAUCCAAUAUAAUAUAUAAUCUACUGCAUCGCGCAGCCUGAUCCAAUAAAUAUAGUAGACUUCACUCACUAGGGUGUGUACAGACUCCGGAGAGGCUCCUUCAGCCCAAACGCUAUAAUACUGCGGCGUGCAGUCCGAUCCAUAUAAUAUAUCACUGCGGCGUGCAGUCCGAUCCAUAUAAUAUACUACUGCGGCGUGCAGUCCGAUCCAUAUAAUAUACUACUGCAGCAUGCAGUCUGAUCCAAUACAUGUAUGUGUAUAUACUGUUGCGACGUGCAACCCGAUCCGCUAUAUAUCGAAUACCCUCACUGCGGGGUCCUUGACCCCUCUCAGCCAACAUUGACUUGGCCUCUCGGGCCCACUCAGCUAAGACAAGGUAUUCAACCCUAGGUAUUUCUCAAUUAGGAUGCAAGUUACAACGUCCGGUUUGUUUUAUGAUUUACAGUUAAAGUCAGGACUGAUGGUAUGUGUUCAAUAGGUAAAGUGAGGUCAAUCAACUCAACACGCUCUGUAGGAGUUCUACAGAUCGGCACAAGUCCCCAAACAUGGAAACUAGCCCAAAAUAUACAGGUACAAGCUCAGUCUCAGUCAAAAAGUGCAGUAAGUCGUCAAUCGGGAUGGACCAAGUCCAGGUCCCCAACAGUAAUGUCACCACGCUCAUCAUACGACGCGUUUUUCAUAUCAACAUAGCACCGCAUAGUGCAAAUACGAGGUCUCAAACCCUCAGUAUAUCAUUCUUAUCCAUUA
rnacentral:lncRNA from 1 species